rnacentral:rRNA from 1 species
UACGGAGGAUGCAAGCGUUGUUCGGAAUCAUUGGGCGUAAAGCGCGUGUAGGCGGCCUGGUAAGUCGGGUGUGAAAUCCCGGGGCCCAACCCCGGAACUGCAUUCGAAACUGCCUCGCUAGAGUCCCGGAGAGGAAGGCGGAAGUCCCGGUGUAGAGGCGAAAUUCGUAGAUAUCGGGAGGAACACUAGCCGCGAAGGCGGCCUUCUGGACGGUGACUGACGCUGAGACGCGAAAGCGUGGGGAGCAAACAGG